rnacentral:rRNA from 1 species
UACGGAGGGUGCGAGCGUUAAUCGGAAUUACUGGGCGUAAAGCGUGCGUAGGUGGUUCGUUAAGUCUGAUGUGAAAGCCCUGGGCUCAACCUGGGAAUGGCAUUGGAAACUGGCGACCUAGAGUGCGGUAGAGGGUAGUGGAAUUCCCGGUGUAGCAGUGAAAUGCGUAGAGAUCGGGAGGAACAUCCGUGGCGAAGGCGACUACCUGGACCAGCACUGACACUGAGGCACGAAAGCGUGGGGAGCAAACAGG